rnacentral:tRNA from 1 species
GGGGCCGUAGUCUAGCUUGGACCAGGAUGCAAGCCUGGGGCGCUUGUGAUCCCGGGUUCAAAUCCCGGCGGCCCCA